GUCACUCUACAGAGAUCGUGCCUUGAGGGCAGGGUCCUCCGGUCCUUCAGUUGGAAUUCUUUUAUGCUGCAGCAAGCCUGCCAGGAAUGAAAAGGAGAAGGCAAAAGGGUGGGUGGCUGCAGGAGGCAGGGCCAUCGCAAGAUCCUAGACCCUGCAGGCUCCAGUGUGAGGAGGAUUCCUUUUGGCUUCUUUCUUCUGUGGUUGAUGCUUCUGCUUGGAGCUGCCAGGCAAGUGCAGGAUGUGUGGCAGGUUCCUGAGACAGCUAUUGGCUCAGGAGAGCCAGCACUCGACCCCUGUGGGGCGCUUCCUUCUUCCCAUCCUCAUGGGAUUCCGUCUCUUGAUCCUGGUUUCCAGUGGACCUGGGGUUUUUGGUGAUGAUGAGAAUGAAUUCAUAUGUCAUUUAGGGCAGCCAGGCUGCAAGACCAUUUGCUAUGAUGUCUUCCGCCCUCUCUCUCCAUUGCGCUUCUGGGCCUUCCAAGUCAUCCUGAUGGCCGUACCCAGUGCCAUUUAUGUGGCUUUUACUCUGUAUCAUGUGAUUGGAUACUGGGAGGUACCAGGAAAGGAGAACAAGGAGCAAGAGACCCGGAUUUGCAAAGGGGAUAGUAGCAAGGAUGUCUCAGGGGCUAAAAGCCUCAAGCUUCUCUGGGCCUAUGUGGCACACCUUGGGGUGCGGCUGGUCCUUGAAGGAGCAGCUCUAGGAGUUCAGUACCAUCUAUAUGGCUUCAAGAUGCCCAGCACUUUUAUAUGUCGUGAGGAUCCUUGCAUUGGCAGCACAACCUGUUUCCAGUCUCACCCCUCUGAGAAGACCAUCUUCCUCAACACCAUGUUUGGGAUCAGCGGAGCCUGUCUCUUAUUUAUUUUCUUGGAGCUUGCACUUUUGGGUUUAGGGAGAUUUUGGAGGAUGUACAAGCACAAACUUUCCUUCUUAAAGAAAUUGCCAACCUCAAAGAGCUCUGUAAGACACAAGGACACAACCGAUGACCUGUCAGUGGUAGAGACAAAAGAGCCAUUUUGAGAAGCAGAGUUGUAAAGUUGCCUGGCUUGCCUGCAGGAAACUCUGCGACUUGAUCUUCAAUACAUCCAGUGAGGUGGCCGGGGAGAUGGUACAGUGGGUAAAGGUGCUUGCAGUCAAGCCUCAUGACCUGAGAGUCAUCUCCAGAACCCCCAUGGAGAAGGGAGAAAACCAACUCCCACAAGUUGUCCACAUACAUGCCAUGGAGAGUGCACACAUGCAAACACAUGCACAUGAUAAUAAUAAAUAAAAUAAUAAAAUCUCAGAAAACAAAACAAAACCCCUGCAUCAAUUAGCUGUCACUUCUAACUUUUCUCUCCUGUCUUACCACUAAACAUAAGCAAAAACCAAGCUACUUUCUGUUCUAAUGGAUUAUCUAUCCUAUCCUGGGAUUUUGUAGAGAUGGAAUCAUACAAUAUGCUUAUUAAUCAUUUGUAUAUCUUUGUAGAAAAGACCAAGUUUUUUGCCAAUUAAAAUUAGGUUAUUAUUUAUUUUUGUAAUGUAUACAUUCUUUAUAUAUUAUAAUUGUUAGAUACCUAUCAAGUGACUCAUUUCACAACAUUCUCUUCUAUUCCAUUGGUCAUCUUCAUUUUCUUCCUGAGUAACAGUUCUUUAAAAUUAUUUAUUCUUUGAUAAUUUCCUACAUAUCUACCCCCAUAUCCCUGUUCUUGGAUCUCCUGUCAUAUCCCUAUCCUAAUCUCUUGUCCUCUUCUUUAUAACCCACCGAGAACAAAAAUCAGUGUUACUCAAAUGUGCACUGGUGUGCAACCAUCUACUGGAGCAUGGUCAACCUACUUGAUGCCACACCUCUGAAGAAGAUGGAGUCUCCCUGCCCCAGCAUUGAUCAAGUGUCAACAGUUCCUCAGCUUCUUCAGUGCAGUGGCUACAUCUCAUAACUUCAGUACAUCAGGAGGAACUCUCACCUCCAAGCCCCAGCUAGAAUAACAGUCAACUCAGUGGGUAGGAAACUGCCCAGACUGUGGAAAGCUAAGUGUGGCCAGCAGAGGUCACUGACAUGCAAAGAAGAAAAGCUACUAAAGUGAACGGAGCUCUUGUGGGACAUAGCAUUCUGUCAGACUCAGUAGCAUCAUACACUGGAGGAAAGACAAAAUUCCACGCGUCACCAGACCCUUUCCUUCACUCCAUGCAUGUAAGUAAUCCAGGGCUACACAGAGAAACCCUGACUUGAAAAACCAACCAAUGAACUAAAGAAAAAAAAAAAAAAGAAAUUCUUGUGGGUGUGUGCCUGAAGAGAUCAACACACUUUAAGAGAUGCUUGCUCAUUCUUGUUGACGGCUACACUCUUACUAGGAAAUGGUACAAUUCUAUAUGUCUAUCAAUAGGUGAGUUGAUAAAUGUGAUCCUUAUGUAGAAUAGAAUUUUUGUUAUUGUGCAGAAGAUGAAUU